GCCCAGGCUUCGCGCGGGGGGCGGGGCCUGGGGCGCGUGGUGGGGCGGCAGCGGCACGCGGCGCGGGGGCGGGGCCCGGGGACGUCACCGCCGGCGGCCCCGCCCCUUCGCGCCUCGGGUCAGCUCGCGCUCUGUGGAGGCGCCAAGAUGGCGGCGAGUAACUGCUCCGGCUUCGCGUGGGGCGCCGGCCCCCAGUACAGAAGGAUGGAAGAGUUGCACUGCCAAGCUCAGAAUCCGGCUCACCCUGGAGGCUCGGGAAAUGCCUGUCACCAGCUUCGGGAAUCCCUGCCUCAGCAACGUGGAGCAGCCCAGUGGCUCUGUCUUGAGCCAGGCUGGCCCUGAUUCAGACCUGGAGACUCUUGACUAAGAGAGAGAGAGCGCGCGAGAGAGGGAACACCAGCAGGGGGAGUGGAAGAUCGAGAAGCAGGCUUCCGGCUGAGCAGGGAGCCCCACGCGGGGCUCGAUCCCAGGACUCUGGGAUCAUGACCUGAGCUGAAGGCAGACGCUUAACGACUGAGCCACCCAGGCGCCCCAAGAGCCCAAAGAUUUAGUUUAUUAAACCCCUUUCCAGUAUGUUGGGAUGUUUUCUGCAUCUGAAAUGGGCAUUUCACAUGGAGAAGGUACAUAAGACUUUCAUAAUUUAAAAAAAUCUGCUAAAAAACACAUCAGAAUUGUAGGGCACGUGGCUAGCUCAUUCAGAAGAGCAUGUGAGUCUUGAUCUCAGUGUCGUGAGUUCAAGCCCCAUGUUGAGUGUAGAGAUUACUUAAACUUUAAAAAAAUAAAAUAUUUUUAAACAUCAGAAUUGUUACGGGUAUGAACGUAUGUCAUAUAUAUAUUGUGACUAUAAAAACUUCGAGAACCGAAGUGCCAAAUGAGAUCAUCACGGUGUGUUUACAUGUGUGUAUACACAUACAGUCAUGUCAUCUUACAAUAAAACAGAUUUGAAAAUGUCCUUCCCGAUGAAUGUCUUUAGUGACCGUAUCAGCAGUGGGUAUUGGAGUUCACUGCACGCCGUCUAAACUCUGAAUGUUCCUCAGCCCUGAGUCGUCACAGAUGCGCCUGGAAAACUGUGCCGAGGUCAGGGUGCUGGAGCUGAGUUUUCUCUCACCAGCACUGCAGCGUAGGUGAUCCUUGACGUGAGAGUUCCAGCUGCUUGGUGCUCUGCAGCAGGCUCAGUCAGGCUUAGUUUGUGCCACGUGGGGCAGUGAUACUGAGUGAACUUUCUCAGCACUGUGAUUGCAGGAAAAUCUUUUUUUCCACCCUUUUUUUUUUCUCAGACUCUAAAUGUUUUUGGUGUGGUGUGUGUGCAUGUUCCCGCUGCAUAUGACCCACUGGCAGUGGUGUGUAUCAGCUACGCUCUGCUGCAGCAGGCCCAGAACAGGUCAUUACCUGCUGGAGAUUCCUCAGACAUCCCCUUCUGAAGUGAGGGCUCCGCUCAGGGCCCGUGUGUUCUUUUUUAUUUUUAUUUUUUUUUAAGAUUUUAUUUAUUUGACAGAAUAAGCAGGGGGAGUGGCAGGCAGAGGGA